rnacentral:rRNA from 1 species
ACCGAAUAGAUACCCAGGUAGUCCUGGCCAUAAACGAUGUCCACUAGAUCGUGGCCGCUCUGACGCGGUCAUGGUCGAAGCAAAAGUGCUAAGUGGACCGCCUGGGAAGUACGGUCGCAAGGCUAAAACUCAAAGGAAUUGACGGGGGCUCACACAAGCGGUGGAGCAUGUGGUUCAAUUCGAAGCAACGCGCAGAACCUUACUUGGGCUUGACAUGCCAGGAUUAUCCCUAUGAAAAGUAGGGUAGGCCCUUCGGGGUACAACUGGUACAGGUGCUGCAUGGCUGUCGUCAGCUCGUGUCGUGAGAUGUCGGGUUAAGUCCCUUAACGAGCGAAACCUUUGCCCUUAGUUACCAUCGGGUUAUGCCGGGGACUCUAAGGGGACUGCCGGUGUCAAACCGGAGGAGGGUGGAGAUGACGUCAAGUCCUCAUGGCCUUUAUGCCCAGGGCCACACACGUGCUACAAUGGCGUCGACAGAGCGAACCUAGAGCGCAAGCUGGAGGAAAUCGCAUAAAUGACG